GACGAACGCUGGCGGCGUGCUUAACACAUGCAAGUCGAACGGAAAGGCCCUGCUUUUGUGGGGUGCUCGAGUGGCGAACGGGUGAGUAACACGUGAGUAACCUGCCCUUGACUUUGGGAUAACUUCAGGAAACUGGGGCUAAUACCGGAUAGGAGCUCCUGCUGCAUGGUGGGGGUUGGAAAGUUUCGGCGGUUGGGGAUGGACUCGCGGCUUAUCAGCUUGUUGGUGGGGUAGUGGCUUACCAAGGCUUUGAUGGGUAGCCGGCCUGAGAGGGUGACCGGCCACAUUGGGACUGAGAUACGGCCCAGACUCCUACGGGAGGCAGCAGUGGGGAAUAUUGCACAAUGGGCGGAAGCCUGAUGCAGCAACGCCGCGUGCGGGAUGACGGCCUUCGGGUUGUAAACCGCUUUCGCCUGUGACGAAGAGUGAGUGACGGUAAUGGGUAAAGAAGCACCGGCUAACUACGUG
rnacentral:rRNA from 1 species